rnacentral:rRNA from 1 species
GUCUACAGCCAUACCACCCUGAAUGUGACCAAUCUCACCUGACCUCAGAGGCUAAGCAGGUUUGAGACUGGUUAUUUUUGGAUGAGAGAAGUAAAAUUGUAUUCC